UUUUGAUAUAAAAUACAUUUUAUCUAACAUAUUUUGAUAUAAAAUAAGUGUUUUUAUUAGUAUUUGAUAUAAAAUACAUUUUAUACGUCCCCCUUGAUAUCCAAUAGUUUUCAUUUCACAGUUUUUUUUUUCUACAACCAAUAUUUUCUGCGAUAUUAACUUGUAACAUUUCAUUUGUCUCACCCUGUAUACAGAAUGUCCGUCCAUAAAUGUCCAAGCAAAUAUCUCACAACUGAUUGAAGUUGUGUUAUAUUAUGAUCUUGUGUUAUAGAUCGUUGGAUUCGUCUCAGUAACGGUUACAAGACUGCGUAAAAAAAUCCAUAUAGUCUCAUUUAAAAAAAUAAAGGAGACCUUGAUCUUACCUUAGUUUAUCAAUCGAUAAGAAAAUCCCUCUUAUCAUCAUAUAUUCCCCUUGAUAUCAAACAGUUUUCAUCUCACACCUUUUUUCUAUAACCAAUAUUUUCUACGAUAUUAACUUAUAGCGAUUUAUUUGCCUCACACUGUAUGUUACAUAUAUGUAUAAAUACAUGAUAUAUGUAUGUAUAAAUAUAUGCAUUUAUGCAUAUAUACGUAUAUCUUUUUUUCUCUUUUUUUUGGAAAAUUACACAGGUCUGCAUGAUUUUGCGGUCUGGAGAAAACAAUUAGUUUUAUAUAUUCUUUUCUUUCAUAUAUUUCUUUCUUAAUAAAUUCAAUCCAACCCGAAAACAAUAAAAAGAUUUUAUUAUUUUUUGAUAGGAUAUUAUCGCGUGAAUUAUGAUUCUCAAAAUUGGGAAUUAAUUACAAUGUAUUUAAAGGAGAAUUACGCAAAUAUACACGUUUUGAAUCGUGCCCAACUUAUUGAUGAUGCUUUUCACUUAAUGUUAACACACCAAGUUGAUUCCUCAAUAUUCUGGGAUAUCACAAAAUAUCUCCAGCAAGAGACAAAUUAUGUGGCCUGGUAUCCUAUGUUCAAAGCUUUAGAAUACAUGUCGAGCAUCUUUAGUAUUGAUACUGUCGGUUCCAAACUUCAUUUUGUGAGGAUAAUGAUGCGGAAUACAUUACAUGAUAUGUUGGAGAAAAUUAAUUAUAUAGAAGUUCCUAACGAAGAUGAGCAUAAAAAAUGUUUAAGGCAAGAGGCUGCGAAAUGGGCAUGUUUAUUACAUCGCCGGGAGUGUUUAGAAAAAGCCAACAAUAAAUUAAUGCAACAUUUUGCGGACCCUAAAAAGCAUAAACUUUUGCCGUGGUGGACAGAAUGGACAUAUCGUAAUGGUUUGUCUUUAUGCGAAGCAGACUCUAUUUGGAAAGAUUUGUAUAAUAUGUGGGUGAACAACACUGAUAAUAAAAUUUCUAAAUUCUUAAGUUGCAUUCAAAAUGUUGAUAUCAUCAAAUACUAUUUAAGCAAAACAGCAAAUGUGAUUAAGGAAUCGAGUCCGGAAGAUUAUAUUUUAAGAUUGCAAGCUAUUAACAAUUUUCUUACUACUAUCACAAAACAUGUAAGAAUCGAAUAUACAUAGCUGCAUAUUAAGUAAUUUCGAAAAAAUAAUACCUAGACAAAUCAGCAUAGUUGCAACAUUAACUGUUAUUAUUAAUCAUUUAUAUGAUGACGAACAGCUUAUCAAGGUAAAUAUUUUAUGAAUUUAUUUACGUUAAGUAUGAUUCUUCCUAAAAACAGUUGAAUUAUUAUUUAUUAACAAUAAGUAUCAAAAUGUUAUUUUUUAGUUAGAAAAUUUUCUGAAAAAUGAUCUGAGGAGGAGAAAACUGCAUUUUGAAUUUAGUACAGAAAUAUCAUCUCAAAAAAUAAGAAACACGAAGCAAAUGCGAAUCUGUUAAAAAUUCAGGAUAAGAUAAAAAAUCGUCGCUCCCAAAUCGAG